ensembl:lncRNA
CCAUUCCAAUGCAUUACUACUAUUUCUGAGAAGUUUUUCCUAAUGCCCAGACUGAAUUUUUUCUGCUGCAACUUGAGGACAUUACCUGUCAUCCUAUCACUGUCACCUGGGAGAAGAGGACAACUCUCACCUCACUACAACCUCCUUGCAGGGAUUUGUACAGAGUGAUGAGGUCUCCUCUGAGCAAUCUCAGUUUCCUUAGCUACUCUCCGUAAGACUUGUUUUCCAGUCCUUUCACCAGCUUCGUUGCCUUCUCUGGACAUGCUCCAGGAUCUCAGUGACUUGUAGCAAUGGCCCAAAACUGAACACAGUACUUGAGAUGCAGCUUGAGAGCAACAAUCACCUCCCUGGUACUGUUGACUAUUAAUGGGCCUCUUGUGUGUUUUCCUUCUUCCUUUGGUGACAUACCACAUAAUUCACUGCACGUAAAGCAAAAAUCCAUCAGUGCUCAACUCUGUAAACUGUGUGUCAACUGAUAGAGAAGGAAGAACACAUCUUUCUUUUUCUCUAUUUGAUCUCUGUUGAAAUAGUGCUUACACAGGCCAAACACAUACUGAUUGUUACCACAUAGUAAAAUUUCCUUAUGCAAGAAUGUAUAUUGUGUGGUGUGGUAUAACUUGCACAAACUUUCUCUGGGGAAAACAAACAAACAAACAAACAAACAAAAACAAAAUAAACCCACUGAGACCAUAGGUUCAGGAACUGUCUUUUCUCCUGGAAUUUCUGGAGAAUUAGCAGCUGCAUCAGUUCCAGUAGACCAAACCAAAUAGAAACAAAUAGUACACUGGGAACAUUCACUUCACAAAAUACAAAUACUGGUCUGGUACCAAACAUACAGUAACUUAUCCCAGAUGGUAUUGCUGAAGUAACGCAACAUGAUAAAAACAUCAGUGUCUUCUCUCCAGCUCUAUCAUAAACACAUUUUUUAACUAGUGCACCCAUAUUUUGGCCCUCCAUUUUCUGGCCUCUUUCUAGAGAAAUCUCCCAAAAGAGGAUAGAAUUGCUCAGUAAAGCAAAGAACUGAAAUGCAAUUCUUAAAUUUCUCAGUUUUGCUGUAAAGCAUAUUGAUAAUUUCCCCCUCUUAGGUGGCCCAUGCUCAUCCUGUGGUGAACGAAGCUGCUCUUCUGGCACAGUUUCCUUAAGUUUGGCUAUGUUUUCCUCGGUUGAUGCUAUGAGGACAAAUUGGUGAUGUGGGUUUCACGCUUAAAAGCCCUACAAUUCUGGAAAGGUAUGAAUACAUUGCUCAGGAAAACUCAGUAAAAUAGUAUUAAGAUGAAUGGCCUCUAAUUAGCAGUACUGAUCUGUUUUGUAUUGUUUACUAGUCAGUAGCAUGAUUACUCAAGAUGAUUAAAGGGUGCUAGCUGUCUAGCAACCUCUUGAAUGCUUCUGCUCUUUUGUUGUUGCAGUGUAAUCUGGAAGGCCUCACGGCAGAGCUGCAGUUUGUGGUACCUCAGUAUCAUAGAAUCAUAGAUUCAUUAAGGUUAGAAAAGACCUCUAAGAUCAUCUAGUCCAACUUCUCACCUACCACCAAUAUUGCCUACUAAACCUUAACCUUUAGCACAACAUCUACAUGUUUCUUGAAUGCCUCCAGGGACAGUGACUCCACUACCUCUCUGUGCAACCUGUUCCAAUGCCUGGCUACUGUUUCUGAGAAUAAAUUCUUCCUAAUAUCCAAUCUGAAUCUCCCUGGAGCAUGAGGGGAGCCUUCCCCUCAGUUCAUGAGGUAAAUUAGGGUGUUUCACGGUGUACAUGUCAAUACAGUCUGUAAAUUGUGGCAGUAUGUCCCCAGCUCAUUGUGUGAUACAAAUAAAACUCACUGAAAGCAGUGUCAGGACAGCACUGGGGAUAAACAUGAAGCUGCAGAGCUUUUCUACCAGCUGGAAAAUGCUUAAUUAGACCUAGACUUAGAUGCCUUUAGCACUCCUUUCUGAAUGUGCAAUCAUCACAAUUGUGUUUUCUGUGUUUUCAAUACUAGAAAUGUAAGUAUACAUUACUUAUUAAACUCACAGGAAUUGCUAAG